GUGCUCACUUUGGAAGCACAUAUACUAAAAUUGGAAUGAUACAGAGAAGAUUAGCAUGGCCCCUGGGCAAGGAUGACAAGCAAAUUUGUGAAGCAUUCCAUAUUUUU
rnacentral:snRNA from 1 species